AAUUCUCGGCAACGGAUAUCUCGAUUCUCGCAUCGAUGAAGAACGUAGCAAAAUACGAUACUUGGUGUGAAUUGACAAAUAAUAUAUAUAGUCUUUGAACACAAGUUGCGCCCGAAGCCAUUAGGUCGAGCGCACGUCUGCCUGGGCGUCA
rnacentral:rRNA from 1 species